GGGCGAGUCGUAUAAUGGUAGUACAUUGGUCUCCAAAACCAAUUGCGUGGGUUCGAUUCCUACCUCGCCUGCCA
rnacentral:tRNA from 1 species